rnacentral:lncRNA from 1 species
CUUUUUUCAGGAGUGGAUCUACAAUUUCAUCUCUUCUGGGGACAUUGAUAAAGAUCAGUUGUCAAAGGCUACAGUUACAGAUGCAGAUCUGCUAGACCUCAUCGAAAAGAUUGAGACAGCGGACGCUACAGCUCUUCUUGACCUUUUAGAAAGAAUCCUCGGAUGUGGGUACACUGGACCUCUAACAUGUGAAAGAAAGGAGGACAUUCUAAGUGCUGUUGUCCUACAUUCAUCUUUACAAAUACUUCCAAUGAUACAGCAAAUGUGCAAAGGAUUGGAACUGUAUGGCCUUCAUGAAAUGAUAAAACAGAAUCGGAUUUUAUUGCAGCCAUUGUUUGUUCCUGGACAUUUUGAAAAACCUGAUGCAGAUUUCCUUACAAUGGCCCUGUCACCUAUUUUAAGUGACAUGGGUUCAUUGAAACGACAGAGAGAAUCACAAAUUGUGAAUUACUUACAGGACUUCAUUCAGAGCCUUAAAGAUGAAGGUAGUGUAAAUCUAAAUGUUCAAAUUACAUAAGUUUUAUACCCACUUUAUUUUCACCUAAAAACAAAUGCUUUAGUCAGUUUGAAAAAAAUAAACUCAGGCUGCUUCAUGAUGU